rnacentral:rRNA from 1 species
CCUACGGGAGGCUGCAUUGGGGAAUAUUGGACAAUGGGGGCAACCCUGAUCCAGCCAUGCCGCGUGUGUGAAGAAGGCCCUCGGGUUGUAAAGCACUUUCAGUGAGGAAGAACGCCUGGUGGUUAAUACCCAUCAGGAAAGACAUCACUCACAGAAGAAGCACCGGCUAACUCCGUGCCAGCAGCCGCGGUAAUACGGAGGGUGCGAGCGUUAAUCGGAAUUACUGGGCGUAAAGCGCGCGUAGGUGGCUUGAUAAGCCGGUUGUGAAAGCCCCGGGCUCAACCUGGGAACGACAUCCGGAACUGUCAAGCUAGAGUGCAGGAGAGGAAGGUAGAAUUCCCGGUGUAGCGGUGAAAUGCGUAGAGAUCGGGAGGAAUACCAGUGGCGAAGGCGGCCUUCUGGACUGACACUGACACUGAGGUGCGAAAGCGUGGGUAGCAAACAGGAUUAGAUACCCCUGUAGUC